GCUGGGUGCGGUGGUGCGUGCCUAUAGUCCCAGCUAUUCGGUAGGCUGAGGCUGAAGGAUCUCUUUAGUCCAGGAGUUCUGGGCUGUAGUGCUCUAUGCCAAUCAGGUGUCCUCACUAAGUUCAGCAUCAAUAUGGUGACCUCCCAGGAGCGGGGGACCACCAGGUUGCCUAAGGAUGGGUGAACUUCCCCAGGUCAGAAAUGGAGCAGGUCAACUCCCAUGCUGAUCAAUAGUGGGAUCACACCUGUGAAUAGCCACUGCACUCCAGCCUGGGCAACAUAGCGAGACCCCGUCUCUU
rnacentral:SRP_RNA from 1 species